GACGAAGGGGGCUAGCGUUGUUCGGAAUUACUGGGCGUAAAGAGCGUGUAGGCGGCCAUACAGGUCCGUUGUGAAAACUGGAGGCUCAACCUCCAGACGUCGACGGAAACCGUAUGGCUAGAGUCCGGAAGAGGAGAGUGGAAUUCCUGGUGUAGCGGUGAAAUGCGCAGAUAUCAGGAAGAACACCCGUGGCGAAGGCGGCUCUCUGGGACGGUACUGACGCUGAGACGCGAAAGCGUGGGGAGCGAACAGG
rnacentral:rRNA from 1 species